rnacentral:siRNA from 1 species
UUAUACACCAAAUUCAGUGA